rnacentral:rRNA from 3 species
AGGGAUCAUUACCGAGUUUACAACUCCCAAACCCCUGUGAACAUACCUUAAUGUUGCCUCGGCGGAUCAGCCCGCGCCCCGUAAAACGGGACGGCCCGCCAGAGGACCCAAACUCUAAUGUUUCUUAUUGUAACUUCUGAGUAAAACAAACAAAUAAAUCAAAACUUUCAACAACGGAUCUCUUGGUUCUGGCAUCGAUGAAGAACGCAGCAAAAUGCGAUAAGUAAUGUGAAUUGCAGAAUUCAGUGAAUCAUCGAAUCUUUGAACGCACAUUGCGCCCGCUGGUAUUCCGGCGGGCAUGCCUGUUCGAGCGUCAUUUCAACCCUCAAGCCCCCGGGUUUGGUGUUGGGGAUCGGCUCUGCCCUUCUGGGCGGUGCCGCCCCCGAAAUACAUUGGCGGUCUCGCUGCAGCCUCCAUUGCGUAGUAGCUAACACCUCGCAACUGGAACGCGGCGCGGCCAUGCCGUAAAACCCCAACUUCUGAAUGUUGACCUCGGAUCAGGUAGGAAUACCCGCUGAACUUAA